rnacentral:lncRNA from 1 species
UUGAAGAGUAAGAUCCACAAAAUCUACGGUCUUACCAAUAAGGAUGGGUGAUUUAUCAAAAUGAUUUUCCGGCUCCUCGAGUUCAUCUACGAAUGAAGGAGUAGGUAACCUCUCCCUCCUUGGUUUCUUCCCUGGCAUUUCGACCUUUGGCAUGAUGAUAGAGAAAUGGAAGAAAAGUUUAGAAGGCCGUUAACCGUCAAAAUGAGAAAAGAAGUUGGUAGUGGAAGAAAAAUGGAGUUUUUAAGUGUUUUGAAGAGAAAAAGUAAUGGGUUUUUGAUAUAUUGUUGAGAUCUUGAAGAAUAAUGGUGGAUUUAAUGAGUUUGGAAGUGAAUCUAUGAAAAGGAUGAAGAAAAGUCAGAGAAAUUAAGGUUGGAGGUUUUUUAAAACCCGAAAAAUUGUGAACAAUCUGGCUAAACUGUUCGAUCAACCGGACCCUUUUUCCCAAAAAUGUCAGCCAAUUGAUUUUUGUGCUUGAUCUAUUUGUAAACAUGAAAAAUCAAUUGGCUGACAUUUUUACUGAACUUUUAGCACUUGAUCAAUUCUCGCUUAUUCGAAGAAGUUUAGGCAUUAUUGAUGAAUUCAUAGUACAUGGUUGUGUUAAAUUCAUAAUGUUUUUACAUGAUUAACUUUUGAUAUUUAU